rnacentral:rRNA from 1 species
CCUACGGGUGGCAGCAGUGAGGAAUAUUGGUCAAUGGACGAGAGUCUGAACCAGCCAAGUAGCGUGAAGGAUGACUGCCCUAUGGGUUGUAAACUUCUUUUAUAUGGGAAUAAAAUGUUCCACGUGUGGGAUUUUGUAUGUACCAUAUGAAUAAGGAUCGGCUAACUCCGUGCCAGCAGCCGCGGUAAUACGGAGGAUCCGAGCGUUAUCCGGAUUUAUUGGGUUUAAAGGGAGCGUAGGUGGAUUGUUAAGUCAGUUGUGAAAGUUUGCGGCUCAACCGUAAAAUUGCAGUUGAAACUGGCAGGCUAGAGUACAGUAGAGGUGGGCGGAAUGCGUGGUGUAGCGGUGAAAUGCUUAGAUAUCACGAAGAACACCGAUUGCGAAGGCAGCUCACUGGACUGCAACUGACACUGAGGCUCGAAAGUGUGGGUAGCAAACAGGAUUAGAUACCCUUGUAGUC